rnacentral:tRNA from 1 species
UAUUAAGUGGCCGAAAUAUUAAGCACUAGAUUUUUAAUCUAGAUCAUGAUUAACUUUAAUCCUUAAUAG